rnacentral:lncRNA from 1 species
CACAGCUUCCUCAAGCCAAGCUCCCCAGGCCCAGGUCAGGCCUCACGGUGGCCUCUCCAGGAUCAGCUCCUGCCCUCCGAUGGCGUCUCCAGGCCCCAAAUGGUCUCCGGUCGGUGGGCUCCUCCACGCCCAGCUUGGGCCUCCCGGCGACCUCUGCAGGCCUAAAUCGUGCUGAAGUCGGCCUCUCCAGGCCCAGCUCCAGCCUCCCGGCGGCCUCUGCAGGCCUAAGUCGUCCUUAAGUUGGCCUGGAAGUGGGCCUGGAAGAGCUGCAAGUUGGCCUCCCCGGGCCCAGCUCCGUCCUCUCGGCGGCCUCUCCCGGUGCAAAACUUCCUCGAGUCAGCCUCUCCAGGCCCAGCUUCUCCUGCCUCCCAGUGGCCUCUUUCGGCCCAGCCCAGCUCGUGGCUCUCAGUGGCCUUCCCAGGCCCCGCUUUUGACUUUUGGUGGCCUCUUCAGGCCCAGAACUUGACCUCCAGUCGGCCUUUGCAGGCCUGGCUUCCUGCCUCUCGAAGGCCUGCACAGGCCCAGCCUCAGCCUCACAGUGGACUCUCCACGCCCAGCUAGCUCUCGCCUCACUGCGGCCUCCCCAGUCCAAAGCUCCUGCCUUUCGGCCGCUUUGGCAGUCCCAGCUCCUGCCUGCCAGUGGCCUCUUUAGGCCCAGCUCAUUCCUCACAACGGCCUUUCCAGGCCCCGUUUUUCUUGGCCUCUAAUUUGUUUAUCUUUUGUGUAUAAAUCUCAAAAUAUGGAAUUUUGGAAUAUUUCUACCAUUAUAUAAAUAUUUUUAAAGGUAAUGUAUUUGGAGUGAGUUUCUGCACCAAGCCCGAAUUUUUUAUUUUAUUUUCCUUAUUAUUUGGUGUUAAACAGGUUUAAUGACAGUCAUGGCAACUUUUUGGCACAAUGAAAAAUACCGCCCAUGAUCAACGUGUUCUGUUCUGGGGAAGGGGG